GAUGAACGCUGGCGGCGUGCCUAAUACAUGCAAGUCGAGCGAACGGACGAGAAGCUUGCUUCUCUCAUGUUUGCGGCGGACGGGUGAGUCACACGUGUAUCACCUACCUAUAAGACGGAGAUAACUUCGGAAAACGGUAUCUAAUACCGGAUAAUCUUUUGAACCGCAUGGUUCAAUGGUGAAAGACGGUGUUGCUGUCACUUAUCGAUGGAUCCGCGCUGUAUUAGCUAGUUGGUAAGGUAACGGCUUACCAAGGCGACUAGGCAUAGCCGACGGGAGAGGGGGAUAGGCCACAUUGGAAGUGGGACAGCGUCAAGACUCCUACGGGAGGCAGCAGUCGGGAAUGUGACGCAAUGGGCGAAAGCAUGGCGGAGCAACGCGGCGUGAGAGAUGAAGGUCUUCGGAUCGUAAAAAUCUGUUAUGAGUGAAGAACAGAUGUGGAAGUAAAUGAAGAGAGCGUGACGGUAACGAAUCAGAAAGCAACGGCUAACUACGUG
rnacentral:rRNA from 1 species